UAUCUUCUCUCUACACACUAUCUUCUCUCUCUACAUCAAUUCAUCUUUUCUUCAUGUCUCUUUUUCUCAACCCUAGGUACCAGUGUACCACCACCAGCCCCAAACCAGAACCGCCUCAUGCUACCAUUCACCAAACCCUAGAGUUUACUACAAGUGUAGUACCGGAAAAGGAUGUCCGGCGAGGAAGUGUGUGGAGUUAGCGGUGGACGAUUCGAAGAUGCUGAUUGUGACGUACGCCGGAGAACACGUUCACCGGCGGGAUGCGGUGGAGAUAGUGACAGGUUUGACCGGCUGGUCACGGCGGCGGAGACGGUGGGGAAUGGUGUUGGACCGGAAUUUGGGAUGAGUGGAGAGACGAUGGAGAUUGAGAUGGGGAUGAAGCUGGUAGGUAGGGUUAGGGUUUUGAAGAUAUUUACUCAUAGAGUUGAGAGUGGAGUGAAUUAUGGUGUGGUGAUUAAGGUGAAAAGUGGAUCUGUGUUAGGGCUUCAUUGUUAGUUAGUAUUAGAGUAAUUGCUGAUUUUUUUUGUUGAUGAAUUAUGUUUUGGUUUCUGUUUGAAUUGGAAUUGAAAACUUAAUUGUAUAUAGUGAUUGGAACUGGAACUGGAACUGAUUGUGGUUUGGAUUAAGAAUAUGGUUUUAGUUUCUACUUAAAU